UGGGGAAUAUUGCACAAUGGGCGCAAGCCUGAUGCAGCCAUGCCGCGGGUAUGAAGAAGGCCUUCGGGUUGUAAAGUACUUUCAGCGGGGAGGAAGGGAGUAAAGUUAAUACCUUUGCUCAUUGACGUUACCCGCAGAAGAAGCACCGGCUAACUCCGUGCCAGCAGCCGCGGUAAUACGGAGGGUGCAAGCGUUAAUCGGAAUUACUGGGCGUAAAGCGCACGCAGGCGGUUGAUUGAGUCAGAUGUGAAAUCCCCGGGCUUAACCCGGGAAUUGCAUCUGAGACUGGUCAGCUAGAGUCUUGUAGAGGGGGGUAGAAUUCCAUGUGUAGCGGUGAAAUGCGUAGAGAUGUGGAGGAAUACCGGUGGCGAAGGCGGCCCCCUGGACGAAGACUGACGCUCAGGUGCGAAAGCGUGGGGAGCAAACAGG
rnacentral:rRNA from 1 species